rnacentral:rRNA from 1 species
CCUACGGGAGGCAGCAGUGGGGAAUCUUAGACAAUGGGGGCAACCCUGAUCUAGCCAUGCCGCGUGAGUGAUGAAGGCCUUAGGGUCGUAAAGCUCUUUCGCCUGUGAUGAUAAUGACAGUAGCAGGUAAAGAAACCCCGGCUAACUCCGUGCCAGCAGCCGCGGUAAUACGGAGGGGGUUAGCGUUGUUCGGAAUUACUGGGCGUAAAGCGCGCGUAGGCGGACUAGAAAGUUGGGGGUGAAAUCCCGGGGCUCAACCCCGGAACUGCCUCCAAAACUGCUAGUCUAGAGUUCGAGAGAGGUGAGUGGAAUUCCGAGUGUAGAGGUGAAAUUCGUAGAUAUUCGGAGGAACACCAGCGGCGAAGGCGGCUCACUGGCUCGAUACUGACGCUGAGGUGCGAAAGUGUGGGGAGCAAACAGGAUUAGAUACCCUGGUAGUCCACACCGUAAACGAUGAGAACUAGCCGUUGGACAUCUUGCAUGUUUAGUGGCGCAGCUAACGCGAUAAGUUCUCCGCCUGGGGAGUACGGUCGCAAGAUUAAAACUCAAAGGAAUUGACGG